AUGGCGAUGACCCUCUGGUCCGUGGACGUCAAGAGCGGCGAGACCGUGUGGUCCAGGCGCUUGCUGGAAGGCCGCCGUGGCGCCGUCACCGGCGUCUCCCUCGUCGGCCCGCCGAGCGACGGGAGCGUCGUCGUGGAAGCCUACGUCAAGAACGCCAGCGGGGACCACGCGUUCACGCUCGCGUGGCUGUCCACCGAGAGGCCCCGCGCGGAGCUGCCAUGCCCGGUUAUGGUGAUGGACUCCGAUUUCUUCUGCUCUCGCGUGAUGCGGCGGGGAGGCGACCCCGCUGGCGGUGAGGCUGUCGCCGUUCGGAUAGAUGGUCACUUCAACGAUCAUCCGACGCUGUGGGAGCAGUUCGACGACGAAGAUGAUGAUGACGAGGAUGAAUACUCGGUGGAUUCGGAAGACGACGACGAUGACAGCAACAGCGAGGAGGAGGAGGAGGAGGAGGAGGGGAGCGACGGCGAGGACGACGGACAAGCGACCAGCGCCGACGAUAGCGUGAUGCUAAGCACGCUACAGACACUGCACCGUAGGAAGUACGCCCCCGAGGGGCAAUUCGUUGGAGGUUCUGCGCCGCGGUUCGCCUGCGCCGGGAGCACGGUCGGCGUCAUGCGGGUCGCCGCCGUGGAGAGCCGAGGCGGAGACGACAGCAAGCAGAUCUUGGUGCUCUACCGCUACACCCGCUUCAGGGCAACACCGGACGGCGUGGAACGGCGAGGGUGGCCGAAGGAGCACCAGCUCCGGUUCAUCGCCACCGGCGACCACGUGGCGAGGUCGCUGGCGUGGGCCGGAUCGUCUCUGGCCGUGCUGAUAUACCCCGGUUUCUUCAGCGAGAAGCUUGAGAAGAGCAAGCAUCUUGAGGAGAGCAGGAAGCUCCAGGAGCUAUGGUCUAGCUUGACGUCGCAGGUGAGCGUCCCGCCGGGAGCGAGACGCAUCGAGGUGUUGGUGGACGUCGGCAACCUCCAGCGGGCGGACUACACGCCCGCGAGCAUGAGGCACAUGUACGCCGCGCUGGAGAGCAUGGUGGCGGGCCCGGGGCCCGAGCGCUUCAUCGGCAUGGAGUUGCACUUGCCGGAGCCGGUACGGUGCGGCGCGGAAGGCGAAUCAGCCGACGAUGACGAUAGCGGCAGAAACGCGGACGAGCGGCCGGCAAAGCGGAGGAGGGUAGACGUCGCUGGGGAGGAUUGCCCCGUCUGCUUGCAGCUGCUGGAGGUGGAGGGCGACGACCUCGCCGCGUGGCCCGGGUGCAGCAAGCCGCACGUAUUCCAUAGCGCGUGCUUGGAGCGCGCCCUCGUGGAGAGCGUCCGGUGCCCGAUGUGCAGGCACAAGUUGUCCAUGGAGCCCAAGCUAGAGUGA
rnacentral:rRNA from 1 species